UUUGACAAAAGAAGGUUAAGUGGGAGCAGGGUGUCGAAUACGGCUGUUUUUGACUUGAAAAUGUGGCGGCCCCGAGUUUAUGUAUUGAAGACCAAAGGAGACCGUAGCGGCGAUGACUGUGUCAAAAUGCGGUUUAACAUUAUGACAGAAAGUUGAAUAAAUCGAGGGUGUGAAGCGACAGGCAAUUAAGUUUUAAUUUGCUUUCAGGGGCCGCAGUCGGAAGCUACUAUAAACAACGGAUUUCUAAAUGAUUUUUACUGGUGCAUACAGCAUCCUUUCUACGUAUUCAUGUCGCUUCGUUUUUCAGGUUAGAUAUGUUGGAGAAUCAAACUGGAUUCCUACCUUUCUUUUUUCUGAUAUCUGUCCGGUGCUACUCAUCACAAUAUAAUUAGCAAGAAGAACUCAGGAAGACUGGUCUUUUAUCCCAUGACUCAACACUUCCAUAACAAGAUCAAAGAGGUGAGCAGUGUCUUGAAGAUUGACUGAAACAAACCAAUAUCAUGAAUUCUCUUGUAAGGAUGAAGUAUAUUCUACCUGUUGUUACAUACAGCACAAACAAAACAGAACAAAAGCAACAGACCUGUUCAAGUCUUGGGAAAGAUACAGGUAAGAAUUCUUUUCUUUAUGAUAUUAGGACACUGAAAUAUUGUGGUGAGUUGGCAGUUUAUUUAACACAAUUAUUAAAUGUUACUGUAUGUGGUUAAUGUUCAUCUGCUUUAGUGUGCAUGUGCAAAUAUACUGAAAAUAGAUUUAGUUUACUUAAUCUCUAACUUUUAGUUUUUCACAAUUUUGGAAAUAAUUAGCACAUUUUAUAAAUGUUAUGAUUCUGAUUGAGAAAAAACUUAUUGGAAAUUCUCAAGAUUCUUUAUUUGUCACAUGCAUAGUUAUACAGUUCGCUUCCCGGGUCCUCCCUGCGUG